GAGUUUGAUUAUGGCUCAGGAUGAACGCUGGCGGUAUGCCUUAUACAUGCAAGUCGUACGAGAGUUUUUAGCUCAAGUGGCGGACGGGUGAGUAACACGUAAGAAUCUGCCUUUAGGAGGGGGACAACAACUGGAAACGGUUGCUAAUACCCCAUAUGCUUUCGAGUGAAAUGGUUUUUCCGCCUAAAGAGAAGCUUGCGGCUGAUUAGCUUGUUGGUAGAGUAAUAGCCUACCAAGGCGACGAUCAGUAUCUGGUUUGAGAGGACGAUCAGACACACUGGAACUGAGACACGGUCCAGACUCCUACGGGAGGCAGCAGUAGGGAAUUUUCCGCAAUGGGCGAAAGCCUGACGGAGCAAUACCGCGUGAGGGAUGACUGCCUAUGGGUUGUAAACCUCUUUUUUCAGGGAGGAAUAAAUGACGUGUACCUGAAGAAUAAGCAUCGGCUAACUCCGUGCCAGCAGCCGCGGUAAGACGGAGGAUGCAAGUGUUAUCCGGAAUCACUGGGCGUAAAGCGUCUGUAGGUGGUCAAAUAAGUCAACUGUUAAAUCUUGGGGCUCAACCUCAAAAUCGCAGUCGAAACUAUUAGGCUAGAGUAUAGUAGAGGUAAAGGGAAUUUCCAGUGGAGCGGUGAAAUGCGUAGAGAUUGGAAAGAACACCGAUGGCGAAGGCACUUUACUGGGCUAUUACUGACACUCAGAGACGAAAGCUAGGGUAGCAAAUGGGAUUAGAUACCCCAGUAGUCCUAGCCGUAAACAAUGGAUACUAGGUGUUGAACAGAUCGAUCUGUGCAGUACUAAAGCUAACGCGUUAAGUAUCCCGCCUGGGAAGUAUGCACGCAAGUGUGGAACUCAAAGGAAUUGACGGGGGCCCGCACAAGCGGUGG
rnacentral:rRNA from 1 species